GAGAUUUUAGUAUAAAUUGAAGUAUAUUUUGUUUUCGAUAAAAGGGUUUUAAUCUUA
rnacentral:tRNA from 1 species